rnacentral:tRNA from 1 species
GUUUUUAUAGUUUAAAAAUAAAACAUUGGUCUUGUAAAUCAAAAUUAAGUUAUAUACUUUAAAAACU